rnacentral:rRNA from 1 species
ACGGAAGGCAGCAGUGAGGAAUAUUGGUCAAUGGGCGGAAGCCUGAACCAGCCAAGUCGCGUGAAGGAUGAAGGUAUUAUGUAUUGUAAACUUCUUUAGGCGCAGAGAAAUAAGGGGCUCGUGAGCUCUGAUGCUAGUAUGCGCAGAAUAAGGAUCGGCUAACUCCGUGCCAGCAGCCGCGGUAAUACGGAGGAUCCGAGCGUUAUCCGGAUUUAUUGGGUUUAAAGGGUGCGCAGGCGGCUUUUUAAGUCAGUGGUUAAAUCGUGAGGCUCAACCUCAUCACGCCAUUGAUACUGGAGAGCUUGAUUGCGGUUGAGGUUGGCGGAAUUCGCCGUGUAGCGGUGAAAUGCAUAGAUAUGGCGAAGAACUCCGAUUGCGUAGGCAGCUGACCAAGCCGUAAAUGACGCUCAUGCACGAAAGUGCGGGGAUCGAACAGGAUUAGAUACCCUGGUA